CAGCCGCCGCAGUAAUACCGGCGGCCCGAGUGGCGGUCACUAUUAUUGGGCUUAAAGCGUCCGUAGCCGGGUUGGGAAGGCCUCCGGGAAAUCUGGCCGCUUAACGGUCAGAAUGCCGGAGGAUACUCCCAGCCUAGGGAGCGGGAGAGGCCGAGGGUAUUCCCGGAGUAGGGGUGAAAUCCUAUAAUCCCGGGAGGACCACCUGUGGCGAAGGCGCUCGGCUGGAACGCGUCCGACGGUGAGGGACGAAGGCCAGGGGAGCAAACCGGAUUAGAUACCCGGGUAGUCCUGGCUGUAAACGAUGCGGACUUUGUGUCGGACAAGCUAUGAGCUUGUCCGGUGCCGGAGGGAAACCGUUAAGUCCGCCGCCUGGGGAGUACGGCCGCAAGGCUGAAACUUAAAGGAAUUGGCGGG
rnacentral:rRNA from 1 species